GGCUCUGUGGCGCAAUGGAUAGCGCGUUGGACUUCUAAUUCAAAGGUUGUGGGUUCGAGUCCCAUCAGAGUCG
rnacentral:tRNA from 1 species